GGUCAAUCAAGUUCAGACAUGCUCAAUCAGAUUUCAAGAUGGCAGAAGGCGGAAGGCAUGAACUUGUUUACAUUCGACGGUUAAACACCGGAGCUAUAAUCAUGUAUGAAGUGUGAAACACCACCAGCAGCAUGCCUGUAGUCCCAGUCCUCAUGGUCCUCUACACAAAUGAUGCUGUUGAAGUCAGGUACUCGGACGGUUCCUGCCUCAAGAUGGCUCCAUGUGGCUCCACCUUUGUGCAUCACCAAAGUCCAGGGGAGACUAUUCACCCUGCUCAUGGUAUGAAGGUGAUCAAUCAGAGAUGUCAGUUUGUGACUAGUGACUAUAGACAGAAGGUGUUGGAAGCGCUCGACUUUAGGAACAGAUUCGCUGAACGGCCAUAUGUGUGUCCAGACCUCUUACUACAGGAUCAGCUGGUGUGUUUAUAUGCAAACAUCCGUGACGUGGCCUGGCCUCAGACUCUGGAGAAGGCUUCCUACGAGUACCUUCCUGAUGGAAGUGUGCGACUAAUGUCUGAGGAUGAACAUUCCAGUAUGGUACUCUCUACACACAAACAGGAUUUCACUGUCUGUUACCUCUCCAAGGUUAGCCGUGACAAACCAAAGGUCAAGGCCAGACACAAGUUCAAGGCCAGGAGCAUGACAGCUACCAACAACCGAAUGUCAACAGAAAGGGCUUCAAGACAAGAACGUUUUAAAUCACGAGAUGAAGAACAUAAAAUUUCUCCUGGGAAUGGAAAUUUGAGCAAUAAUCAUUAUUCAAGUAGAAAUAUAAUGAACGUCGAAAGAACUGGAACAAAUAUAAACUCAGAACCAAGGAAUAUCUCAGACGAGUUGGUUCAGAAUGAGAAUACAGUAUCAGAUCAUACAGCAAGGUCAGAAGUGGCAGGUCAUAGUAGUGAACAGAAAACAACAGAAACAGAUUCCAUAACAGCAAAACAUAAUCAUGAUAGAGACAAUUGUGAGAGUGAAGGGUCAAAGGAAGGUCAUAAGAAACUAACAAGGGAGACAGAUUCUGUGGAGGGAGACAGUGGCAGUCCGUUGUCCGAUGACCUCCAGCGUCGACUAACUGGUGACCUUAGUAUCUCUCCUAUCAGUCUUGUGAGUGGACUGCGUAGUGAAAAGUCCUCCCCCUGUACAGAGGAGGAGUAUCGCCGGUAUUCCACACCUACUCACUUUCAAUCUGACACCCAGGGGGCGGAGACUCGGCAGUGUGUACCUGGCAAGGGUGCUGCUAUUAGACAGUACAAACGUGAACAACAACCAGACGAUGGGUCAUUUCUCGACUAUCCUCCCGUCAAAAAUAAAAAUGAAGAUGUUGACUCUGCACUGGAUGAGACUUUAACCAGUCAUAAUGUGUCACAAGACCCGCAGAGAAAUCAAAUUCAUGCCGGAUCUAGUCCAACUAGCAUUCCCAACGUAAUGCAAAAACCUUCACCUAUUGAGUCUAGAUCAAAACCAUUAAUUAGAGGAGAAAUACGUCAAAAACCUUCAUUCGAACAAGAGAUGUAUAUCAGGGGCAAAAAAUCAAAUGAAUCUAGUCCAAGUAGCCAAUCAGAAAGAAGAGCAGAAGGGUCAUGGGAGGAGCCUUACCUGAGAAACCAAUCGGGUGAAAGGGAGGUUGGGUCGUGGGAGGAAUAUAGUCCAGGAAGCCAAUCAGGAGACAGGGAGGCUGGAUCAUGGGAGGAAUCUCCCGAGGCUCGCAUACAUUACACCUGGGUGACGAGACACUACUCCUGUGAGGAAUGUCCGGUGGUGUGGAGUCACUGUGUCAAUUUGGCCCGAGCUGUGCUGGACAACAGGGAAAGUUUGGAGCAGAAAGCCUUGAAGCUUUGCUCAAACCCAAAGAAGAAGCUGUCAGAUCACCAGGUUGUCAGGAGGAACAAGUGUGUCCUGUCUACCCUGCCCCGCCCCCUCCCUCUCAGCUGUGAAGGGCAGCACCUUCACUCCCUCGGAGGACGAUAUCUGUAUGAUGAUGAGAAAGAUCUUGAAGAAAAUCUAGCUGUAUUCAAACAAGGCAAGCUUAAGGUGCUUCUCAUAGAAGGAGUUGUGUUUAGGUUGGUGAGGCUGGCAACCACUAAGGUGGUGGAGAUAUUCCCGGGGGACAGUAGUGUUAUCACAUCACAGGGGUUGUCUGGUCACUUCUACAAACACACCAUCCCUCACGGACAUGACAAGGUAGAAGAAAGAACCUAUUCCCUGAAAUCGGCUCCACCCACUCCUCCGAAGGCAGCUUACUCUAUACAGAAACUUAUCAAGAGGGCGCACAGAUUUCUACUGCAAGCUGGCCAGGAAGAUCAGAUGAUCACUAAUGCUGAUGUGUGUUGCUGGAAGUAUGUGGAGAAGAAACUGGAGCUCGUCCCCACCACUGUACUGGAGGACUGUUGUGUCCCCGGCCACGGAAAAUUCUCCGCCUACUCCAACGGACAUGUCCGCAUCCUAUUUGACGACCGUACAUCUUUAGAGAUGACAUGUGACUUCAGCCGGAGAGUGAAGAAUUGUCUGGAGCACACAGAAGGCACUAUAGAUGAUACUCGGACUGAGACAGAUGAGAAUCAGAGCAUUUUAGUGACAAAACAGCACUUGACCGCCAGACAGACCGGCCUGUGUAAACUCCUACUGCCCAACGGUCAGUACCAGAUAGUAGAAGUCAACCACCCUGGUGUCUUCAAGAAGUACACCGAUGCUGCCACCGAAUGGGAGGCUUGGGUGAACAGUUCCCCAGGACAGAGAAAAGACUUCUACGAGCGCUGGGAUAAGCAGGACUCCCACCAAGUGCUGGCAGCAAAGGAAUUACAAAAGAUCAAGUGUUUUAAUUAUAUUGUUGACAAUACCGUGAGUAACCAGGCGUCACUUCCAUCACACGAUGUGGCUGUUAUGACAUCCAAGCCGUCAACAAGCCAUCAAGGCGUGGGCUUAGUGCAAUAUUCUAACAGAACUCAGUUUUCAAACUCUUCCAUCCCUCAUUCAAGAUAUGUGAACAGAUCUGAUAAUGUGACAAACAAAUGGCUUUCUGAUGAGGGUUCUCAAGGUCAGGGACAUUACAGUCAAGAUCAGCAUGGCUACGGGGCUUAUAAAAAAGGCUACAAUAUUUCAGAAUCCAGUGUUGGACACUUGAGCAGUGAAGGGCACUCUGGGAAUUUUCUUCGCAGUCAAAGUCAUCUUGGUUACAGUAUCCCUCCAGAAAAGGUCAUGACCUCUGCAAUACCUGGAUCAUAUCAGGGGUCAGGAGGUCAGAUAGGGAACAUUAGUCACACUGCCUCCAGGACCAGCAUGGACACUCUACAAGGCUUCAAUGCUGUCCGCGAGGCUCUCCUUAAAACAUCAAAGGCCAUACAGGACAUCGACUGUAUUCUCGAUAAAAAAUCGUAAUCCAUGUUAACAUUGAUAGGUUGUGACAUCGACUGUAUUCUGGAUAAAACAUCGUGAUCAAUGUUAACAUUGAUAGGUUGUGACAUCGACUGUAUUCUGGAUAAAACAUCGUGAUCAAUGUUAACAUUGAUAGGUUGUGACAUCGACUGUAUUCUGGAUAAAACAUCGUGAUCAAUGUUAACAUUGAUAGGUUGUGACAUCGACUGUAUUCUGGAUAAAACAUCGUGAUCAAUGUUAACAUUGAUAGGUUGUGACAUCGACUGUAUUCUGGAUAAAACAUCGUGAUCAAUGUUAACAUUGAUAGGUUGUGACAUCGACUGUAUUCUGGAUAAAACAUCGUGAUCAAUGUUAACAUUGAUAGGUUGUGACAUCGACUGUAUUCUGGAUAAAACAUCGUGAUCAAUGUUAACAUUGAUAGGUUGUGACAUCGACUGUAUUCUGGAUAAAACAUCGUGAUCAAUGUUAACAUUGAUAGGUUGUGACAUCGACUGUAUUCUGGAUAAAACAUCGUGAUCAAUGUUAACAUUGAUAGGUUGUGACAUCGACUGUAUUCUGGAUAAAACAUCGUGAUCAAUGUUAACAUUGAUAGGUUGUGACAUCGACUGUAUUCUGGAUAAAACAUCGUGAUCAAUGUUAACAUUGAUAGGUUGUGACAUCGACUGUAUUCUGGAUAAAACAUCGUGAUCAAUGUUAACAUUGAUAGGUUGUGACAUCGACUGUAUUCUGGAUAAAACAUCGUGAUCCAUGUUAACAUUGAUAGGUUGUGGCAAAAAAUAACACUUCAAAUGACAGUUAUAGACAGGUGUCCUUAUAAACAGGUGGAGGACAGUUAUAGACAGGUGUCCUUAUAAACAGGUGGAGGACAGUUAUAGACAGGUGUCCUUAUAAACAGGUUGAUCACUGAUUACUUACCAGAUAAUUAUAUAAACUGAAAAAAGUGACAUUAUGAAACAACAAAGUGCUGUUGCCUUAAAUUUUUGAAGUUGAAACAAAUGACAUUGCAAAAUCUUAAAAUAACCUUGCUGUCUUUUCCCCUCCCUCUCGCUAAUUUUGUUAAUUAAUAUAUACCGGUAAUCCAUCGAAGUUUUAUUUAAAUAUUUUUCUGUUUUAUUUAUUCAACACUAGAUCUACUCUUUUAUCUGAUUUUCAUUAUAAGAGUUAAUGGUGUUGCUCGUACUGAAAUGUUGGGUGUUAUGUACUAUAUAGAUUUUGUUCUAAGUUGUAAGUACUUUGUAAAACUACAGCAAAUACUACAUUUAUGUUUCCUCAGUAUUAUUGUUUGUUUUGUGAUUCUUUAUUUUUUGUGACUUUGUGGUGUGUGUUAUCGGAGAUUCUAUUUGUUAUUAUUUAUUUUCCUUCCUGUAAGUUAUUUAAUUAAAAUUUGCGGUGUAUCUGUCUUUCUAUCUGGAUGUAUUGUUUCAAAGACAUGCCUCCCAGGCCUCUUAAAUGUUUACUGUAAGUGAAAAAUACAGGUUUAUGAAUGGAAAAGUUUAAAUGAACUUGGGAUGAUUCCUAGUUCAAGGUCAUGGCCAUAUGGUUAGAGGUCAUUAAAGGUUGAUUAUUUGAAUUUACCCACUCAAGCAAUAUGGAUAUUUGGUCUCGUUACUGAAGUGUGUCGCAUAUACCACUGUCAUAGCUUUAAGUCACGAAUCAUUCUUAUAAGUCAAGGCCAUGGUUCAAGUUCAAACAUUGAAAAUUUAUAUUUACUCGCUCAGGCAAACAUUUGGUCUAAUUGCUGGUCAAAUGUUACUUAGAUCCUUAUAUCCUCAAGUGAGGCUCUUGUCAUAUCAUUUUUAUGAAACAAGGCAAAGAGGAGGUAGCCGACAUAACCCUCAGGUAUCUGGUACCCCCCCCCCCCCUGUUACAGUCAUGAAUUAAGUACAGAGCUUCCUGACGAUUUUUUAGCUAUAUUUUAUUAAUGGUAAUAAUAUGCAUUAAAGUUAUUGCUCCAGUAUUUAAGAUGUUAAGCACCACCAAAGGAGAUAACAUUAAAGUUAUUGCUCCAGUAUUUAAGAUGUUAAGCACCACCAAAGGAGAUACCACUUCAGUUAACAACAUUACCUAACAUGCUGUUUAUGCAGUCACUACAAUAUAAAGUAUAUAGUUAUACCUCAAACAAGUUUUAUUUUAGAGGUAUUUAUCUAAGACUAUUGUUGUGACAUCUAGCCUCAGACUGGCAUAUUUAUACAGUUUAGCUGUGUAUCAUAAAUGCUGGUGACCCUAACAGAGAUAAAAAGCAUGUGGCGAUAUUGCAAUUGUUUUAAAUCUUCCUACUUGUAAAGUUCCGAGACUUCAUUUUCACUCCGUCCUUUUCAUUGUCAACCUUCUUUGGUGUACAAAACAUAUAUAACAAUAUUUUUUACUAAAUUAAUUACAAAUAAUAUAUUAAAAUAUCUAAUG
rnacentral:misc_RNA from 1 species